ensembl:lncRNA
GUGUGUAUAAAAUGCACAGGCAUACAUAUAUAUAAUAUACACACAGUAUGUAUUCCUUGCAAAAACAAAUCUCUAAGGUACUUGGCUAUCCAGUGCAGCGCACUGGCAUGAAGAGAAUCUGUAGGCACAUACAGCUUGAAAUGAUUUAUUUUUUAUGAAAAUGUUAACUGAUGAGAUUGUAUCUACAUGUGUGUGUAUGCGUGUGUGAAUAUAUAGACUCACAUAUGGGCAUAUACGUAUAUAUAUGCAUACACAUCUCCAUCCAAAUUUUCCUCAAAGAUACAUGAGGAUUUUUGCAUUAAUCCAUAUUAAUGAAUGAACCAUCUCUUUUUCCAUGCCCAAUGUCACCUUCUCCCUGCCCUACCUCACCUCUUCUCAGGCAUCGCCUCUUCCCCAGCUGUCCCUCCCAGCCCUUCCUUGAACAGCGAGGCCCUUUCAAAGCAUAGAACUAGGGAAGGGUGCUCUCUGACACAGCUUCUAGCACAGUCUUGACUGAAUGUACUGUUCCCUAUUCGAGUUAUUUCUCCUGUGGCCAGAAAGCUGCCCAGAGAGAAGGAACAAAGGUCUGGAGUUUACAGAAUGUCUGUUUUUAAAGUCACUUUAUGCGUUUCCCACUUUUUUUUUUUUUAAAUAAAAAAAGCACCGUUUUGGUGGUGGAUAAAUAAUACUAAAAGGACUCUAGUGAAAGGGAAGAGAAACUCAAAGAGCAAGGAGAUUGUGAAUUUCCAGGUACUCGGGCUUUUUGUAGGAGAGAGAAGAAGAUGAAGUUUGCCAGGAGGGCCCAUAUUUUUUCAGCUGAAGGGUAAAAUCUUUCUUUGCAGAGACAGUAUUUUGCUGACUACUUUUUAUAAUGUGAUGAUUAUUUAAAAAACACAAAUUUUGGUCACUUCAAAGCUGGAAGGAGGAAUCAGAUAUCCUUUAAUAUUUUUUCCUUGCUCCUUCUGGAAUAUGCAUGUCACUGCAUGGUAACUCUGAGUUUUCUUUUGUUUUAAUAAAACUGUUCUCAGACAUUUAAGCUAAACUAAGAGAAAAAUAACUUUGUUGCCAAAAGGUUGUGCUAUUGGGAUUUUUUUAUAUGUCUGCAUGUUUUAAAAACCAACAGAAGAAAAUGCACUCUAACUUAUGUGAAUUGAGAGAAAAAAUCAGGUUUUAAACAGGAAAACCUAUGGGGAAUGAUAUUUUUUGAAAGACUUUUGUAUAAAGUUGAGUACUUAGAAAAAGACAAACCAGAUGUAAUAUAUUUUGUGGAUGUUUUUAUUUCUUGGAUUUAUAGUACCUUAUACUAAGGUUAAAAAAUGCUUGAUAUUGUGAAAAGGUGAAAUUCUUCACCAACAUUUCAUUUGCUCCUUUGUCACAUUGUUAUGCCAAUAUAAUAUAGUUAAUGAAAACAGCAUUUUUAAAAACCGAAAUAUUGAAAUGGUGUAAUGUUGUACCAUUUGCACUGUGAGCAAAUGCCAAUACAGUAAAUAUAUUGUGUUUGCUGACAAUCAGCCGGCCUUUAAAUCUCCUUAUUUUAUUUCUUGUUUUCAUAGCAUAAAGUUUUGGUUUGGCCUGUUU